rnacentral:rRNA from 1 species
ACUCCUACGGGAGGCAGCAGUGGGGAAUAUUGCACAAUGGGCGCAAGCCUGAUGCAGCCAUGCCGCGUGUAUGAAGAAGGCCUCGGUUGUAAAGUACUUCAGCAGUGAGAAGGUGGGUAUGUUAAUAGCAUACUCAUUUGACGUUAGCUGCAGAAGAAGCACCGGCUAACUCCGUGCCAGCAGCCGCGGUAAUACGGAGGGUGCGAGCGUUAAUCGGAAUUACUGGGGCGUAAAGCGCAUGCAGGUGGUUUGUUAAGUCAGAUGUGAAAGCCCGGGGCUCAACCUCGGAAUUGCAUUUGAAACUGGCAAACUAGAGUACUGUAGAGGGGGUAGAAUUUCAGGUGUAGCGGUGAAAUGCGUAGAGAUCUGAAGGAAUACCGGUGGCGAAGGCGGCCCCCUGGACAGAUACUGACACUCAGAUGCGAAAGCGUGGGGAGC